GCUGGGCAUGGUGGAGCACACCUGUAAUCCCAGCAGCUCAGGAGGCUGAGGCAGGAGGAUCGCAAGUUCAAAAACAGCCUCAGCAAAAGCGGGGUGCUAAGCAACUCAGUGAGACCCUGUCUCUG
rnacentral:sRNA from 1 species